rnacentral:rRNA from 1 species
GACCACAGCUUUGCCACCUUGAAGUCUGGUCUCUCCAGGUCUCAGAAACCCAGCAAGGGUGGGCCUGGUCAGCACUGCGAUGGGAGACUUCUAAGGAAAACCAGGUUGCUGUUGUAA